GGGAUUGCCUCAGUAACGGCGAGUGAAGCGGCAACAGCUCAAAUUUGAAAUCUGGCCCCUCCGGGGUCCGAGUUGUAAUUUGUAGAGAGUGUUUCGGGUGAGACCACGGUCUAAGUCUGUUGGAACAUUACGUCAUAGAGGGUGAGAACCCCGUAUGCGACCGUGGCUCGAGCCCAUGUGAAGCCUCUUCGACGAGUCGAGUUGUUUGGGAAUGCAGCUCAAAAUGGGUGGUAAAUUUCAUCUAAAGCUAAAUACUGGCUGGAGACCGAUAGCGCACAAGUAGAGUGAUCGAAAGAUGAAAAGCACUUUGGAAAGAGAGUCAAACAGUACGUGAAAUUGUUGAAAGGGAAGCGCUGGCAACCAGACCUGUCCGUAGGCGAUCAGCCGCUGUUCUCAGCGGUGCACUCGUUCUGCGAUCAGGCCAGCAUCGGUUUCGGCGGUCGGAUAAAGGCCCGGGGAACGUAGCUCUCUUUCGGGGGAGUGUUAUAGCCCCGGGCGCAAUGCGGCCAGCCGGGACCGAGGACCGCGCAUUUAUGCUAGGAUGCUGGCGUAAUGGUUGUCAGCGACCCGUCUUGAAACACGGACCAAGGAGUCUAACAUCUAUGCGAGUGUUUGGGUGUCAAACCCAUGCGCGGAAUGAAAGUGAACGGAGGUGAGAACCCUUUAGGGCGCAUCAUCGACCGAUCCAGAAGUUUACGGAUGGAUUUGAGUAUGAGCAUAGCUGUUGGGACCCGAAAGAUGGUGAACUAUGCCUGAAUAGGGUGAAGCCAGAGGAAACUCUGGUGGAGGCUCGCAGCGGUUCUGACGUGCAAAUCGAUCGUCAAAUUUGGGUAUAGGGGCGAAAGACUAAU
rnacentral:rRNA from 1 species